CCUACGGGUGGCUGCAGUGGGGAAUAUUGGACAAUGGGGGCAACCCUGAUCCAGCCAUGCCGCGUGUGUGAAGAAGGCCCUCGGGUUGUAAAGCACUUUCAGUGAGGAAGAACGCCUGGUGGUUAAUACCCAUCAGGAAAGACAUCACUCACAGAAGAAGCACCGGCUAACUCCGUGCCAGCAGCCGCGGUAAUACGGAGGGUGCGAGCGUUAAUCGGAAUUACUGGGCGUAAAGCGCGCGUAGGUGGCUUGAUAAGCCGGUUGUGAAAGCCCCGGGCUCAACCUGGGAACGGCAUCCGGAACUGUCAAGCUAGAGUGCAGGAGAGGAAGGUAGAAUUCCCGGUGUAGCGGUGAAAUGCGUAGAGAUCGGGAGGAUUACCAGUGGCGAAGGCGGCCUUCUGGACUGACACUGACACUGAGGUGCGAAAGCGUGGGUAGCAAACAGGAUUAGAUACCCCAGUAGUC
rnacentral:rRNA from 1 species